GUAUGAUAAGUCUUCCUACAACUAAAGAUAACAAUUGAAAGACUCAUGGAAAAGGGCUUUUUCAAACCCUCCACAUGUCUAUUAAAGAAAUUUCAAAAGGCAUAAAUAAAUAGAUAUUAUCGUUGAGGAAAAAUGCUGGACUUGCGCUAUACUGAUGAAGAGAUCCUUUGGGUUUAAAAUUAAAUGUCCAAAAUAAGUUCUAAUCAUUUUACUUUCAGUUGUAAACUUUUGCACUUGUAACAGAG
rnacentral:misc_RNA from 1 species